CACCAUUUUCUCCCCAACCUCUGGAAAAGUGACCGGUGCUUGACGAAUGAGAGGUAAAGUGACAUCAAAUUGCACAUGGAUGAGAAUAAAAUGACCUUCACAAUCGGAUCCAUCACGAUUAUCUACCCGAAUAACAUCCCCUAACAUAGCACCAAUAUAGCCUGAGCAACGACCAUCGUCAUAUAGAAGCCAGGAACACCGUGUAACUGAACCCAAAAAGUGCCAUGUGUCAAAGACGUAAGAGUGCAUAUUAUCAUCAUUUUGGAGUUCGACCAUUAAGACUCAUGAGUGUCGAUACACCUAGGGUUCCAUUUCAAGGACCUUUUUCUGAUCCUGGGCACUCACAAAGCGAACCUAGAAUCUAUUAGACUAUAUUUCCUUGAUUAAGACCUCCUCAGUUUCCUUCCAAAGAUUCGAAAAAGUCUUAAUAAAACCAUCACUGUUGACACGGUGAUCCACAAGGACUUCGGCCACAAAACUAUAGGUAAAUCCAAUAAAACUAUUAGUAGAGAUGGCUGAAGAACUAAUAACCACCCCAUCUUGUUCACGUGGGGUGAAACAUCGCGAUCGUGAAUCACCGUAGGAAGACGCAGGAAGACACCCACAAGUGUACAAGAAACCAACUGACAUAAGCCAACCCUAAAGCGUGGCGGCAGGCUAAGGUAUAGAGCCCGUAACCCUAGCCCUCAAAGAGAAAAUUAAAAGGAUGAAAAAGUUAAGGCUAAACCAUUUGUAAUAGGUGUAUUAAAAUCGUCUACCAAUGGAGUUUGGAAAAUGCUUUGACAGUGCUGGACAUGAAUUAGCAAACUGGUAAAGUCUGGUUUUCACUUUUUUGCUUGUUUUUUUUCCCUCCUUUUUAGUUCUAUAAGAAAUAAUAUUUUGUUCAUCGUAUUUUAGUUCGACGUAUUUUAUUUCUAUAAUGGAUGGUCUCCAGGACACAAAAUGAGCUAUCGGAGUGUGGUUUUGUUUGCCGUAUUUUACUUCUAUAAGAAAGAGUAUUUUUCUGUACCAAA